rnacentral:lncRNA from 1 species
UUCCCCUUAAAAUUACAAAUUACAAACAGAAAGCUGACAUGAAAUUUUCUUUUAAAAUUUGAUUUUCAACGUAACUAAAUUAAAAUUCAGGUCAUUGUUAUUCAUUAAAAAUUAUCAUUUUAGUCCCCCAAACUUUUCUUCUAAUUUAAAUGAGGUAUAUAACCCUAAAAAUUUAUAUAACAAAUUAUCAUUUUAGUCCAAAACCGAAAGAACCCAUCUCAUGGUUGUUCAUCGUUGGGGUCGAUUUCACUCACCUUCAAUUCUUACUUCGCUACCAAAUCCAUCAAUUCCUUCACUUCGCUGCAAACAUCCAUUGAAUUCAAUGGAAAAACAUUGAGGGCAGUAAGGGACGGUCCUAAUAAGCUCUCGGAAUUGAGUGGCCACCAUCUCCGACUUCAUUAAAAUACAUAGCCUUGCGAGCAAUCCUCCAAGAAGAAGCUGAUUUUCUGGGAAGAAAGACGAAGCUCGAAAAAGAGAAGCACGACCGACUCGAGAAAAACUGAAAAGCGUAGAUUAUAAGCAAUCCUCACCCUACACACACCAACAACCAUCAAACCACAAACUGAAAAGAGCAAAUUGAAAAUAAAAAAGAGUCUAUAGUAGAGGAAGAAUGAAAAAUGAUUAAGCAAAAGAUAGAGAGCAAGAAGCAAAGCAAAAAUAAAAGAAAAAUAAAAAACAGAAAAAAAAUAAAGAGGAGAACUAUCUUUUAGGGCUUCUCGAUUAUUUGGGCAUCGGAGCUCUACUCAACAAUCCAAAUAGUGAAGGUAGAGGAGGUACCAAGGAAAAUAUAUCUCGGGCUUGUGGUGAUCCAACAGUGGAUGUCGACAGAUCGGGGUUUUCAACUUCGAACCUUUGCUUGGGGUUUUGUAAGCUUUGGCCGCUUUUUGAGAAAAUAUAAACUAAAGAAUGGAUAAAUGUUGUGGAGACCUAUUGUUUGGUGGUGGUUUUGUGUCCGUCGAAGCACCGAUGGUGGAACUCUUCGACCGACGAUGGUUAGGGUUAAAAG